rnacentral:tRNA from 7 species
GCCGAGAUAGCUCAGCUG